CGUGCAGGCUAUUGCUGGAUGUGGUGAAUCAGACGGGGACGGACAAGCUGACUCGGCAAUGUCAACAGGGAAAAUGGAUCCACAAUCCCCGGGUUGGACAAAAAGGUUGCGGAUCAGGCGGGCACCACCUGACAGGACACCGUGCGCGUCCAGGAAGAGUGCCCUGGAAAAUCAAUCUGUGGGUACACAGAAAAGCUUGGGGAUGAGGUUAUAGAUCCUUGCUUAGGGACAACAUUCGAUUCUCUCGGUGAAGCUUAUGAUUUCAACAACUUGUACUCAUGGGAACACGGGUUUUGGGAUUAGGUAUGGUAUGCUGUUUGAAUGAAUGCACAGAAGACGAAAUGCAUGCAAGAGAUUGUGUGCGGAUGCUCGAGAAAACCGACGUCAGAGAAUACAAAAUCAUGCAGGUGUGAGUGCCCAGCUAUGAUAAGAUUGCUGACCGCAGACAAUAGAUGGUACAUAACUUAGCAAAGAGAAACAUAACCACACCAUCAGUGACAGACGCGGGAAACAAUUGAAGGAGGAAAAUCAGCAUACCGUUCAGUCCAGCUCCCGCAGAAUUGUUGUUGCUGCUAGUCGUAGAGGCUCAACCUCUGCUUGCGCGGUGGCCGACCGACCGGCACCAGUUCGUUGCGAGCUGCGGUCUGCGAAGGCAGCAGCGGAGGCGCGGAGCGGAACUGCAGGAGGUCGGGCUGAUGCUAGCUCAGAAGCGUAUGAGAAGCUUGUGUCCCUGUUGAAGCAAAACCUUGGAGUCAUGGCGCCAUUUGACGAAGCAAGAGAUGGCCUUGGCCUUGAAGACAGAAUGACAGUUACGAAGCGAAAGGAAAUUCCUGCUGAAGGCUGUGAAGAUGGCCCAUCAUUGCUGCAAUAUAACGGCAACCGUUGGUCGGUCUUACAACUCCUACUAAGAAGGUGAAAGCAGGUAGGCCAAGUACGAUCAGGGACAAAGCACCCUACGAAGAGUCGGGUAGAAGAACAAGAUUUUGCAGCAUUUGCAAAAAACCUGGGCACGAAGACAUGUCCUGAAAGAGGAGACAUGCCGAAACAGCCACAAAAAGAAGCUAGAUGCAACCGAUGUGGUGUGACUGGUCAUCGAAAGAGCAUAUGUAGUAAGCCUAUAGGUUUCAGUUAUAUCCGCAUUGCGUGGGUUCAUGCAUUGCCACCAUUUAACUGAGGAGAUGUAUGUUCUAGACAAUAUGUUUUCAGCUCAAAUAUGUACUCAAAAUUUUAGAUUUCGUCUGUAUAGCAAUGGCAAAAAACAUUGGAAUGUUGUGUGAAA